rnacentral:misc_RNA from 1 species
ACAAGGUUUCCGUAGGUGAACCUGCGGAAGGAUCAUUAAAUAAUUUUUAAUUUUAUUCUUCGGAAUAUCAUUAUAUAUUUUACUGUGAACUGUAUUAUUUCAUGACGCUUGAGGAAUGCUUCUGCUGCACCAUAAUGGACAGGUCAGUGAAGAUGUUAACCGAGUCGUGGUCAAGCUUAGGCUUGGUGUCCUUAAUUAUUAUUAUCCAAAAGAAUUCAUUUUAAAAAUAUUUUAAUAUGGGCGUAAAAAACUCAUUAAAACAACUUUUAACAACGGAUCUCUUGGUUCUCGCAUCGAUGAAGAACGUAGCAAAGUGCGAUAACUAGUGUGAAUUGCAUAUUCAGUGAAUCAUCGAGUCUUUGAACGCAUCUUGCGGUCAAUGGUAUUCCAUUGACCACGCCUGUUUCAGUAUCAAAAACUACCCCACAUUUAUAAUUUUUUUUUGUUAUAGAUGGCCUUUGAGAGUUUACCGGUGGAUUUUUUUCCAUUGGUUCUCCUUAAUAUAAUCUGGCAGAAGGAAUUGACUGUAUGUUCGUAGAUGCCCAUUAAACCUUUUAAUUGAAAGAUUUUUUUGGGCGCUUAAAGUCUGCGUGCAACUACACAGUUGAAACUGGAGGCCACUCAAAUAAAAUUUUAAAAUUUGAUCUGAAAUCAGGCGGGAUUACCCGCUGAACUUAAGCAUAU